rnacentral:lncRNA from 1 species
CCCACUGUUAUGGACUGCAAUAUGGUACUUGCAAUGAGUGACGGUAUGUUUUCUUCAUGAACUUGCUAUAUAUAUAGCUGUAUCCAAAGUUAUUGGCUAUGAAUCAACACGACAAGAUCUGCAAAACCUAGGGAUUAUUGUAGUGAUCUUUGCAUGCCUGCUUUAAAAAUAAAUCAGAAUUAAACUAUUUAGAUUGUGAAACUCUGUCUCAAGAUAGUAUUUCAGCAUUUACAUGUGAAGUCCAUGCUAAUGGGUUGAACUAACUUCCAGGGAAACUAGUGGAGUAUGACAAACCUACAAAGCUCAUGGAAACGGAAGGAUCUCUCUUCCGUGACCUCGUCAAAGAGUACUGGUCAUACACAUCGAAUGGAAAUAUUUAGAACUCACCUCGUCAAAGAGUACUGGUCAUACUCAUCAAUUGGAAAUACAUGUUCAGUCUCUUAAAAGGAGAUACAAAAAUCUUGGCUCGCACAACUGAAGAAGUCUUCUAUCUGAAAUCUUAAGAAAAGGAAUCAGGCAUUGUCAGGAAAUGCUCGUUAUCAAGUUUUCACCACCCAUUCUGAGCAACUUUUUGAUCACUUCUGUUUUGGGUCAUUGAUUCCCUUCAGGCACUGAAUAGAAGGAAACCUGUCCCUCAAAAAAAAAAAAACAGAGGAAAUCUUCAGCAUUUCUUUGCUCCAAUAGUGAGGUAAAUAAAAGAAUAAAUGGGAGGUAUUAACAUCAAGUCUGCAACGGUGAUACUUCAUGUUCAUAGAAAUGCUUAGGCUAUUCCAUUGAAAUUUUGUGGUGUAUACUUACAUUCCUACAAAACUAAGUCGAGUAUAUGAUGUUUGGGGGGGAAAUAAUGGCUUUUCAGCACCCUCUUGUUCAUGUUUAAUGUAUAUUCAUCGAGAGAACCGAUUUGGUGGUAACUCUGUUUUCACUGCAUGUGCAUGCUGGAUGAUUAUAGAUCCUUGUGGCUUAUUUAGGUCACGAUCUAUAUCUCUUAUAAAGAUAAACCUCACGCUAUUUCUUUUGCCAUGCAAGGUGUCCACAUCAGCAUCCACUAUAACAUUCAACUAGCACAUGCUAUUAUGUCUUCAUUCAAGCUAUUCACAUUAGCAAACCACAUCAUUUAUUAAUAUAUAUUGCUACAUUACCAACACCAUAUAUAUAUAUAUAUAUAUAUAUAUAUAUAUAGGGAGAGUAUACUCUGUAGCUAGCUACAAAAUAUGUUAUUCUGUAGCCACCUCCAUUUACGAUAAUUUUAUAUAUUAAUUUACGAUAAUAUGUAUACAUAUUUACGAUAGUUGAGUUACUAUAACACAUGGGGAUAUUUACCGUAAUGUUAUAGUAAACCACUUAGUAAGAAGUUACUAUAAUUUUGUAAAUUAAUAUAGUAAUUAUCGUAACUCAAAGUGGCUAUAAAAUAAGUUAUUUUGUAGCCAGCUACAAAGUAAUAGUUCUAUAUAUAUAUAUAUAUAUAUAUAUAUAUAUAUAUAUCCCGAUUCUUAGUGAUUAACACUCUAACCUAUUUAUAUUCUUUCUUCAUACCCGCGACAACGCGUGGGAAAUCCUUCUAGUUUAUUAAAUGGCACAAAUAAUUGAGUAAAAUAUCACUAUUUAUUUAUUUGGUUCUGGAGAAAAUAUUAUGUGACAUAAACAUAUCAAGGGUGGAAGUGAAAGUAUUUCGCUGUAGCAUGAAAUCACAUUUCACUGCAAGUCUGUUAUACAAUAAUACUCCUAUAUAAAUAUUUAUUUCAUUGAAAAAACUGUAAAUAUCUGUUCAAUUGCAUUUGUAAUCCAUAUAGCGUACAUACGAGUUUCAGCACACUAAAAAAAGGCAGCAUGAAGAAAAUAAAUAGAUGAUGGAUAGUUUCAGCUUCAGAACAAAAAAGGCAAUUCUUAGAAACAAGCCAAGAAGAAAAGAGUUUUGGGAGGGACUUUCAAGCUCCACACAACAUGAAUAUAAACUGUUAUAACCCUCCUAUAGUUAAUGACCUUAUAUAAAGACUAUGGGAAAUAAAUGUUAUUAGGGCCUGUUUGGUUCCACUGGGCUAAAAAUUAUCCCUUCACUUUUAGCCUUUGAGGAACUAAACAAGUGGGCUAAAAGGAAAGGACUCACUUUCAGCCCCCAUUAGUCUAUUAGCCCAUUAAUAUGUGAAAGAGGGCUAAAAGUGCUAACACAUGACUUUACUCUCUUCUCUCCCUUUCACCUUUUAGUCACCUUUUAGCACCUGGAUCCAAAUAGUCAUCUUAAGUUAGACUUUAACACCUUUAGCCCAUGGUCUAAUCUUUAGUCCAAGGACUCGAGAACCAAACAAGGUCUAAAGCAUCCUCUUCAUCUAAGAAAAUAUAGCCACAGUUGAAAAAUCCUAUCAUCUGCUACCCUGUUUGGAUCCUUGGACUAACAACUAAUUGGCUAAACUUUAGCCCUUGAGGAUCCAAACAGAAGGACCAAUGGGUGGGCUAAAGUUUAGCCAUCCCAACUAGUUAUUAGUUUACUAGUCCAUAAAACCCAACUAUUAGGGGCUAACAACUAGUUCUAGACUAUUGAACCUAACAAUUAGUUCAAGAUCCAAAUAGGUGUGGACUAACAACUAGUUGGUUAAUUUUAGAUGGCUAUUUUUAGCCAUAGCUAACAACUAGUCCUAGUCCCUUAUCCCAAAGCUCAUGGAUAGUUUAUUUUGUUCUUGAAUCAACACAUAAAUAUCCUAGUCUUGGAUAGCUAAACUUAAAGAUCCUAACCAAUCAUCCUCCCAAAACUUAACUUUUUUGUCAUUUCCUAACUUCCAUCUACACCCCAUUUUAGCAGUGAUGGCAGGUUACAUGAUGUCCUAGAAAGGUAAAACAUCUUGAGUAGAACUACAGAAUAUUAGGGCUAGCUGUUCUAUAUUUAUGAUCUAAAAGUUGUGUGCAUAGAUUGUUUCUAUCUGCCUCAUAUCUCAUGAACUAGAUCCAGGAGACUAACAAAACAAAGGAUAAGGUCUCUAAGAUUAAGGAUCUCUAAGUCCCCAAAAUCCUUUAACAUAUUGCCAAUAUUUUCCACAAACCUAAAUUUGACUAGCACGGAUCACAUAACAACUCUUUUUAUCGGGCGAAGGGAGUAGCCUUAUGAUUUGAACCAUUGGUGUGUCAAUGCGUUGAAUGAAAAAAAAAAUCCACGGUACCAUCGCAUACGACCUCUGUUCCACCGACUAUAGCGGUCGUAGAUAAGUAGUUGGGAGAGCAAACAUUUGGCCAGGUAGACAAACUAGCCUCUGACAAGUUUCAAAUGGUGGAGCCAGAUUUAGAUAGGUAACUAUCUAAACCAACAAUAAUCAUACGUGAUGAAAUACAUAUUCUCUCCAUCUCAAAAAUAAGUUUCAAUAAUUUUUCUUUUAUGUUUCCAGUAGGACCGAUAUGAUUAAACUAGCGACACAAUGAUAGAGAGCUAGCUUAGCUAUGGGGCCGAGGAGCGUAAGGAGCAUUCUUCCUCACCGUGGGAUGGAUUAAUCUCACCUCGCGGACAGCCAGGGCAUCGCUUAAUAAUGAUAUAUACGUAUAAAGUUUGACUUAGCACCGCAUUAGAAUUAAUCGUAUGGUUUCAGGACGGAGGGAUGCAUGAGUAUCUCCAAUCUCAGGUGAUGAAAACAUAAACCAUAGUGAAGUGACGUCUAACCAUGAAUAAUUGCUCUGAUUAUUGCUUGUCAUCACCCACCGCUUUCUUGCUAGCUCUGAUGGAUAGCAGCUUGGCGUCCUACGGAUGACGACGAGCUCAGGCCGUAUGUCAAGGGGCUUCUAUAUAUCAACGCGAUGGCGCGCCUUUCCCUCUCUCCUCAAUUAAUCAUGUCCACGUCGGGUGAUUUCACUGAACCAGCAUCAAAUAGACGGCUUCACACUCUUUAACUGGGCAGCCAUUCAUGUUCUGUUCUCGUAAAAAACACACACACAAAAAACGUCCAUGUCAUCAGCAUAUUUGCUUCAACCAUUCAUAGCUAGCUCUGCUUCACAGCGUGAUCGACGACUCUGUAGGCAGCCAGUCAGUCAGACAUCCACCUGCCAAAUUAAAUCAAUUAAAUGCUAGCCCCGAGCAAAGUGCAUCACGCGCCAUAAUAGCCUUCCAAGCUCCAAAACCAGCCUCUCCAACUCGCCGUCUUCUCCGCUCAGCCAUCGCCGGCCUUCUGUUUGCCUUCUCGUCUUCCUUCCUCACCAGACACCAGCAAGCCGGGCAGCUGAACGGUACGGUGGCAGCAACACGGCAACAGCCAGCAGCUAGCAACUGAUGGUAACAUGUUUCUUUUUCUUUUUCCCGUAGUUUAAAAUCUGUGGGUAGGAUUUUGCAUGCGUAUUUGUUAUGAUCUUAACUAAGGUGCUCUGAUCGUACAAUCUUAACUAAUUGUGAUUAUGGAUUUUUGUGAAUCUAGUUUAAAAGCAUCUGAUUCGAUUUAGAAUCUAAGAUUCUUUUAUGAAUGGAAGAAUCCAUGAUUUUGGCAACAUGGUUUCUCCUGGCCUCCCCAUGCAUAUCUAUUUUUUCUUCUCUUUUGAAACGACCUUUUGCUCCUCAUGCAGUGCUUCCUAUUUUAUUCAUUUUUGAGCUUUGCUAUAGUGGUUCACAAAUCUUUUAUUCGCUUUUUUCCUAAAAAAAAUCUUUUAUUCGCUUUGUUGGGAUUGAACGAAGAAAGAAGGGGUGGUAGGUAUAUUGAUAGACUAAUGACUAACAGAUUCGGCUGAUAAACUCAAACGAACAGACUUACGUCGCUAGUGGAGUAGUUUUUUUUCCUUUGGCUCUAGAAGCAACUCUAUUAGAAGCUAAAACUGUUUUGGUAAAAUGUUUAGUUUAACAACUUCAUCUCGCUGUAGAUAUAAAAAAAGAAAGCGACUGUAAUACGUUUAUCUUCUUUUUUUCUUUAUUUCUUAUAUCUUCUUAAUUAUCCUUUUGUCUUUAUUUUUUCAUCUCUCUUCUUAUCCUUUCAUUCUUCCGCCUCGCCGCAACAUAGUGUUAGGCUUCGGCACCUCCGUCCCACCCUUUUCUUGCCUCCGUCCUAUCCUUAGUGCCCGUGCGGCCGUGCUACCUCCACCUCCCCCAUGUCACCGUGCCCCCGUGUCGCCGCUGUGCCUCUUCCCGUCCUCAUGCCUCAUCGACUGCGCUCAUGUGGUGCGCCUCAGGGCAAAUUUGACCACGACGAGGACUGGGCCUACGGGAGCAAGAGGGAGGCAGGAGAAAGCUUCUUUUUUUAGCUCUAGCUCUCUUUACCACCCCUCUUAGGAGCUUCACGUCUGAAGUGCCUCAACAGGAUUGUGGUAGGCUACCGAAGUUCAAAACAACCAAAAACCCUAGAGCGGUGCCAAAUAACCCUAAAAAUAGGGGAUCCAAAGGAAAAAAAAAAGAAAAGAUGUACAAAACGGCAAGAAGAAAAUUUUUGAAGCUGCUGGCAUCUCUAUCUCUUUCUCUUCUUACUUUCAAAUCCAAAGUUCACAAACUCUUGCAUGGCAUGGUAUUGGGCCAUGUCACCAGCGAAGCUCGGCCGUUGGAUUCUAUGCUGCUUUUGAUCAAGCCGUCGUUCUCGGCUCGGGUCUUCGACGACACCGUGCUCUCCUCUCCUGACUUUCGCAAGUAGAGCUAGCUAGCACUAGCAGUAGCAGAGCAGCCUAGCUAGCACUAGUGGCGUGCGCCGCCGCCGGCGCUAUCCUCCAUCUUCUGCUGGCGCGUCGAUCAGCGCGGAGCUCCACGGCGUCGGCGCACGUAAUGGCCACGACCACCUCUCGUUGGGCACGUGCGGGAGAUCGGUGGUUUCACGGCAACGAGAGUGGCGGCGGCGCCGCCGCUCAGGCCGGCUGCGCACCCAGCCCCGGCGGCAGCGGCGCCACCGCAUCAGGCGGUGGCGGCCCCCCAGCGCAGUCGCUGCGGACGACCGCCGCCGAGACGAUGACGGCGGAUCUUGUCGGCAUGACCAACGGUGCGGUGCAAGUUCAGGUGAGUAGCAUCCUUUAGCACUUCUGCCUUCUCCUUGCACGCUUGUGUGGUGGAUUUGGUUUGUAGAGGAGAUUAGUCUCAGAUUUUGCUUCGGUCAGUUGGACCUUGCAUUGGAUUGGUCCCUACGUGCAUGUGUGGUGGAGACCCUGAUGAGGAGGUUCUCGAGCUCUCCCUCUCCCAAGGAUGCCAUCACAUCGCCAUCGUGAGGAAAAAGGCGAGUGCCACUGCCACGAGGGGGGAAAAAUGCGAGCAAUGAGGUGAUGAGCGGCAUCCUCGCGCCCCUGUGCUCUCUCCCGCACCACAGAGAGCAACAGGAAGCGCCCCAGCGGCUGCUUGGUGCUUGCGAUGGCGCCCAACUCAUACUCGACAAAAUGCCUACAAGGCUUGGCUCUUCCUUUCUAAUGCAAAACUCGGACCCUGGAUAUUACCAUAUAAUAAAGAUGGUUGCACAACUUCUGACCUAAGUGUAAUAACUUUGAAAAUUCAUUUGGUAAUAUGCAUCUUUCUCACAUGCUUGAAGCCUCAAAGCAUAAAGUUCAUCUACAGGUCUGAAGUCAUGUGACAACAUGGCCUUCUCAAACAUCCUUUAGCGUAUCACCAACUUGCAUUGCUGCAUGAAAAGGAUGUGAGAUACAAAAGAUAAGACUUGACAUGGGGCAAUGUACAAAUUUGUACAUUUUAUUUAAUUUUGCCGUUCUGCAAUUUCAAGUCUCAUUAUAUUUUUAAAUUUAUUGAUCCAAUCUUUUGUCAAAAUGAUAUUAACCCAAAGUGUUGCAUUUACCAAAGUAAAGCAUAAGCAUGGAGCCAAUAAUUUAGGUUGCUCUGUUUCUUGAACUUGCCAUGGUUUUAGUUUAUAAUUGUAAAUUUAUACUAUAAUUGCUAUGCAUGUUACAGCUUAUUUCACCUAUAUUUUCCAGGCAGUACUUAAGAAUGUUUCUCUACGAAAACUUGCAAGAAAUUGUAUGUGCUGCAUAUUCUUUCUUCAUGUACAAUAUGCUAUCCUGAAUAUCCUUGAUGCUAUCCUGAAUACCCUGAAACUAAUUCACUUCAAGGAGAAGGGCUUCCUGUGUCAUUUUUGUAUAGAUUUCAGUUGGGUUAUUUUAUUUUAAUAAAGGUGAGCAACAGUAAUAGAAGAAACCUAAAGGUUUGUGUUGAUUAUAUAAAAACUUUUCUAUCAUACAUACAUGCUACAUGCUCCUUUGUUUUUAGAUAAAAAAUCUUGAUAGAUGAAUUAUACAAUACUGUCUCUGCCCUCUAUAACCUUAUAUGUAGCUCAAAUUCACUUGGUCAUCUCAGGUUGACUUCAAUUCCAAUUCCAGUAGUGAAACAACAAUAAUACAGAAAGUCUAUUUAAUCUCAUCGAAUCAAACGGAUGGAUGUGUUUCUUCUUUGAGGAAGAGAUGCAUGCUGCAUUUGUUUUUGUUUUUUUUUUUGACGGUCGACGGGGGGGAGGCGUUCCCCACCUGAAAAUUUUUAUUAUAGCCCAAAAUGGCUCGUCGGAUGUAGCUUACAAGGCAGCAUACUUAUGCUGCGAAACGGUUACAUAGAAAAGGGUGGAAUGUUUUUGUUUUUGUUUCCCCCUCUUUGGAUAAUGGAGGGCCAUUCAAGAAAUUUUUUUUGCAGUUGUUGGGUUAGUCUUUGUCAUGUUUGCUCAUGGUCACAGUUUAGUUGAUCACGAACCCUACCCUGCAAUUUUCUAAACCUUUCAUGAAUUUGAUUUUUUUAAUCUCUUCUUUAUCCUGACUAGAUUCAUGUGUUUAUGGUUACAGAUGGGCUUGAAGAGGACCUGACCCACGCACCAGUGCAGUAAACAUUGGAAACAUGGCUUCCCUCACAAGUUAGUCCUCUUUUCGCCUCUCUAGCUUACUGCAAUGCUAUUCUGCUGGUCGUUGAUGAGAACAUCUACAAGACAGGAAUGCACAUCAGUUCUGUAAUAUAAGUAUUCUGAUGAGGGGAUUGCAUGCUUUAAAAUUUAUUGUCUGCUAGGUUCAUGGAUGGCGGUCAUGUGCGGGAGCCCAUUUUGCUCCAAGGAAGCUUCAGCAUCAUGUGGAUGCAAGGAAAUACUCAACUCCUCCACGUGCACGAAUCAUGUUGUGGCAACUGGCAUUGCUGCUCUGAUCAUCGUCAUUCUCGCACUCCAGCUGCUCGUCAGGAUUCCAAAGAGCAGACCAUUUUCAUGGCAGCUUGUUGCACUCAGUUCGCAAAUGCAGUUGGUUGCAGUAGUGUUCAAUGGCUGCUUGGGUCUCAUUUAUCUUGGCCUUGCAUUGUGGAUGCUGGGGACAAACUUCAGCCAGCAUGCUUCUGUUUACCUUCCACAUCGGUGGUUGGUGAACUUGUCUCAGGGAUUCAGUUUGUCCCUUAUCAGCUUUGCUUUCAGCAUCAGAGCACAGUUCCUUGGAGCAACAUUUUUCCGGGUUUGGUCAGUUCUGCUGACCACAUAUGCUGCAUUCGUUUGUUGUACCUCGGUUGUUUACAUUGUUGCAGACAAGGUACUGACCAUAAAGGCUUGUUUAGAUGUUCUAUCCCUACCAGGUGCACUACUGUUCCUUGUUUAUGAGAUUUGGCACGUCAAGGAAGAUGGUAAUGGAGGAGUUGAAAAUGCUUUAUAUAAGCCUCUAAACAGAGACCCACGACGAUACGGCUGAUUCUCAGAGUCAUGUAACCCCAUUUGCUAAAGCCGGAAUUUUCAGCGUGAUGACGUUUUGGUGGCUAAAUACUAUGAUGAAGAUGGGUUAUGAGAAGCCUCUUGAGGAGAAAGACAUGCCAUUUUUAGGUCCCUCAGACCAAGCAUAUAGCCAGUACUUGAUGUUUUUGGAGAAUCUGAACAGGAAGAAGCAGUUGCAGGCACAUGGCAAUCCGUCAGUCUUUUGGACUAUCAUUUCUUGUCACAAAAGUGCAAUCUUGGUCUCAGGCUUUGCAUUGCUCAAAGUGCUUACAUUAUCUUUAGGUCCAGUGCUUUUGAAAGCAUUCAUCAAUGUUUCACUUGGAAAAGGGUCCUUUAAAUACGAAGGCUAUAUUUUAGCUGCAGCGUUGUUUGUUACUAAAUGUUGUGAAUCUUUGUCACAGAGGCAGUGGUAUUUCCGCACUCGGAGGUUAGGACUCCAAGUGAGGUCAUUCCUAUCGGCUGCCAUCUAUAAGAAACAGCAGAAGCUGUCAAGCUCUUCAAAACUGAAGCAUUCUUCCGGAGAGAUCAUAAACUACGUCACUGUUGAUGCCUACCGGAUUGGUGAGUUCCCAUACUGGUUCCAUCAGACAUGGACGACAAGUAUCCAACUUUGCAUUGCUCUUUGGAUUCUGUAUAAUGCAGUUGGUCUUGCUAUGAUUACAUCGCUUGUUGUCAUCGUUAUCACUGUAAUUUGCAAUGCUCCACUGGCCAAGUCACAACACAAAUUUCAGAGUAAACUCAUGGAAGCACAAGAUGUGAGACUAAAGGCGAUGUCAGAGUCCUUAAUUCACAUGAAACUUUAUGCAUGGGAGACUCAUUUCAGGAAGGUCAUUGAGGGGUUAAGGGAGAUUGAAAUCAAGUGGUUGUCAGCAUUCCUGCUUAGGAAAUCUUACAACGGUCUCCUGUUCUGGAUAUCACCUGUUUUGGUUUCGUCUGCAACCUUCCUAACAUGCUAUCUUUUGAAAAUUCCUCUUGAUGCAAGCAACGUAUUCACAUUUGUGGCCACUCUGCGCCUUGUUCAAGAUCCAAUUAGGCAGAUGCCAGAUGUAAUUGGAGUCGUUAUACAAGCUAAAGUCGCUUUCACUAGGAUAACAAAGUUUCUUGAUGCGCCUGAGCUGAAUGGACAGGUUAGGAAGAAAUACUGUGUUGCCGAGGAAUAUCCUAUAGUGAUGAACUCUUGCAGUUUCUCAUGGGAUGAGAACCCAUCAAAACCAACUCUGAAGAAUAUACAUUUGGUUGUCAAAUCUGGAGAGAAGGUUGCAAUCUGUGGCGAGGUAGGAUCAGGAAAGUCAACACUUUUGGCUGCAAUUCUUGGAGAGGUUCCUAAAACUGAAGGCAUGGUAUGCAUUUUUACUUAACAUUUAUAUAGCUUUUUUUUGUUGGGGAAAACUUUUGAACUUCAUAAUCUUAACACUCAGUUGCAAGUGCAUAAUUGCCAUGUUGUGAAGCAGUACAAUACUGCUAUGUGCACUUCAGAACCUCAGUUUCUAGUUUCUUUCUCAAAUACAACAUGCAACAAACAAUAUCUGAUGCUCGAAAGAGUUGUUAUAGUUAAUUUGUUUGAUGAUAUCGGAAAAUUAAGAAAAGUAAGCAUGUUAAUUGGUUCCUCCGAAUUAAAUUUUUCAGAUCCAAGUUUGUGGGAAAAUAGGAUAUGUUUCUCAAAAUGCAUGGAUCCAAUCAGGAACCGUGCAAGACAACAUUCUCUUUGGGUCUUUGAUGGACAGGCAAAGAUACCAAGAAACACUUGAUAGGUGUUCUUUAGUAAAAGACCUUGAAAUGUUGCCAUAUGGAGACCAUACUCAAAUCGGGGAGAGAGGUGUAAAUCUUAGCGGUGGUCAGAAGCAGCGUGUUCAGCUUGCUCGUGCGUUAUACCAAAAUACAGACAUUUAUCUUCUUGAUGACCCUUUCAGUGCUGUUGAUGCCCACACAGCAACAAGUCUUUUUAAUGUAAGUGACAAAUAACAAUUGUGAAUUGCAAUAUUGAUCAUAGGCUAUUAGGCUGUUUAGAUUUUUUUUUUACAGGAAUUUCUUAUGGGAGCUCUGUCAGAUAAAACUGUACUUUUGGUGACCCACCAAGUCGAUUUUUUGCAUGUAUUUGAUUCUGUUCUGGUAUGUUUUCAUACUUUAUCCUAAUAAUCUCUCUCUAACUUUUCAUACCUGUGCCGUUUUUAGUGUUUCAACUUUUCUCGCUGAUCAAAUAAUAUUCUGUUAAAAAUUAAAUUGCUAUAGGAAAUCAAAAAAGUUGUAUAUUAAGCAUCAUAAGUUGCUAAUUUCAGAACAAAAAAAAGUAAGAAACACUUCGAGAAAAAAUUGCAAUGCAAAUAUACCGAUCCCUCCAUGUUUAUAGUUAUUUUAGUGACCGUAUUUGUUUGUUUAUGCCAUCUGAAACAAGUGUUAUUUUUUACCAGUUAAUGUCAGAUGGCGAAAUUAUUCGUUCCGCGCCUUAUCAAGAUCUAUUGGCAUAUUGUCAAGAAUUUCAGUUACUUGUAAAUGUCCACAAAGACACUAUUGGUGUUUCAGAUCUUAACAGAGUCGGCCCCCACAGAGCAAAUGAAAUAUUGAUCAAGGGAUCGAUUGAUAUUCUGUCAUGGGCAUAAAGAGGGGGGCCGUAGGGCGCAAGUGUCCUAGUUGGGCCUUAAGCCCAUUAGUGUUAAGUAGUGUCUCUCUUAGUUAUUUGUCUAUAGGAAUAGUACCAUAUUGUCUAGACAUGGAAGCGAAUGCAAAGAGUCUUUGAAGCCAUCACCAGCAGAUCAGCUGAUCAAGACAGAGGAAAGAGAAAUGGGGGAUACUGGUCUCAGGCCUUAUAUCCUUUAUUUGCGUCAGAAUAAAGGCUUCUUCAAUGCCUCUCUGGGUAUUCUUGGCCAUAUAAUUUUCUUAUGUGGCCAAAUAUCACAGAAUUCAUGGAUGGCUGCUAAUGUCCAGAAUCUUGAUGUUAGUAGACUUAAGUUGAUUUCUGUUUACAUUGCAAUUGGAAUCUUCACGGUGUUCUUCUUGCUAUUUAGAUCGUUAGCACUUGUUUUUCUUGGGGUCCAGACAUCAAGGUCUUUAUUUUCCCAGUUACUCAACUCAUUGUUCCAUGCACCAAUGUCCUUUUUUGAUUCUACCCCUCUUGGAAGGAUACUUAGCCGGGUAAGGAAACUUAAACAAAUUGUUCAUCUCCCUGAGAUAUAUUGGGUAGUGAGGUUGCACCUCCUACAUAUUAGUUGUAGUGUGAACAUCUCUCCCCUCCCAGCAAUCAAAGCGAAUAUUUAAACUACUACACAGAUAAAAUAUGAUAGACCAAACCAAAGUUCUAUUUUACAUUUGGAUAUUUCCUAUUGAUGGAUGAACUUGCAAAUUUUUUAUGCAGGUAUCUUCAGAUUUGAGUAUUGUUGACCUUGAUGUUCCAUUUGGAUUCAUGUUUGCCGCUGGUGCCAUCAUAAAUGCAUAUAGCAAUCUGGGGGUAUUGGCUGUUGUUACGUGGCAAGUUCUUUUUGUCUCUGUGCCGAUGAUUAUUUUGGCAAUCAGGUUGCAGGUAAUUUUGUGAGAUUCCGUUGGCUUUAGUUUUGUUGUUAUAUAUAUAUCAUAUGCCAUUUAAUGUGCUUUGCUGCUAUUUUCUUCCAAUAAGUGAAAUAACAUGUCUUACGUUCUUAAUUACCACUGACUGAAAUCUAAUAUGCUUGUUCAUGCAGAGGUACUAUUUAGCCUCAGCUAAGGAAUUAAUGAGGAUCAAUGGCAUUACCAAAUCAGCUCUGGUUAAUCACUUGGGCGAGUCAGUUGCAGGGGCUAUAACAAUAAGGGCUUUUGAGGAAGAAGAUCGUUUCUUUGAGAAAAAUUUGGAACUUGUUGACAAGAAUGCUGGUUCAUAUUUCUAUAAUUUUGCAGCGACUGAAUGGCUGAUUCAACGUCUGGAGACAAUGAGUGCUGCAGUUCUUUCUUUUUCUGCCCUUAUUAUGGCUCUUCUUCCUCCAGGAACUUUUAGCUCUGGUGAGAAUUUAUAGAAGUUGCAAUUUGCAUGUAUCGCCAGUUGACCACAUCUAUGCAUUCGUUGGGUAAAGUUUCUUUCCUGAAAAAAGAGCCAGGAAGUUCUGUGCAAUAAAUUAUUUUAGUGGUGCUGAACUUUGAACCCAGGGGUGCAGAAUGGAAACACCAAGAUUAAUUCAUGACUACUUAAAACCAAAAGUACAUGCAUUCUGUAUCGUUCAUGUUAGGAAUAUUUCAGUAGUGUCAUCAGAAACACUAAUCACUCCAUUUUGUACAUGUGCAGGCUUUGUAGGAAUGGCGUUGUCUUAUGGUCUAUCCCUAAAUAAUUCCUUUGUUUUCUCUAUCCAAAACCAGUGCCAGCUAGCAAAUCAAAUAAUCUCUGUGGAAAGGGUGAACCAGUACAUGCUCAUACCAAGUGAAGCAGCAGAGAUUAUUGAAGAAAAUCGACCAUCACCAAACUGGCCCCAGGUUGGUAGGGUGGACCUUAGAGAUUUGAAGGUAAUCAUAUAUAAACAUUUACAUGUAUGCCUUACAAUGAAUGAAUGAAACCUUUUUGUAUUCUAGGCUCUAGAAAAUUAACAUGAAUGAUUUUCACUCAACAGAUCAGAUACAGGCAAGAUGCUCCUCUUGUACUACAUGGAAUCACAUGCACUUUCGAAGGUGGAGAUAAGAUCGGUAUAGUUGGCCGGACAGGAAGUGGAAAGACAACUUUAAUUGGUGCAUUGUUUCGUCUUGUUGAGCCAACUGGAGGGAAAAUAAUUAUAGACUCUGUAGAUAUCAUCACAAUUGGCUUACAUGACCUGCGUUCACGUUUGGGUAUCAUUCCGCAAGAUCCAACACUCUUUCAGGGAACCAUAAGAUAUAAUCUAGAUCCUCUUGGGCAAUUUUCGGAUCAACUAAUAUGGGAGGUACGAUGUCUUAUAAUAUGCACAGCUAUUCAUGUUGUUUCUAGCCCUAUUGUAUUAGUUUAUCAGGAAAAGAAUGUUAUUUUGAAUGAACCUGUUGUUAAGUUGAAAUAAUGAGGCCCCUUCCUCUUACUGGGAAGAUUCGGCACAAUAAGUGUAGUAUAGUGCCCAGUAAUUUAGAAAUUUUAGAGCAUAGUUUGAAUGACCUGAUGAGUAAACUGAACCGUGAGAAUAUUGGUCGCAAGCAAGCAAGCCCUCUCCCCCUCUCCCUCUCCGCUUUUUUACGCAACCUGCUGCAAUCAUCUCCCAUUUGAAUGGCAUAUAUACCAGCUCAAACUUCAAAGCAAUCACUUAAAGUGAUUCAUUUCUAUUCUUAUGCAGGUUCUUGACAAAUGCCAGCUUCUUUUUUUUUUUCUCGAAUACGCAGGAGAGCUGCAUAUCAUUGUAUUAGUAGAAGAAAAAGGAGUCCUACAUAGACCCAAACACACUCACACACACACCACCAAAACUUCCCUGAUUUCUAAGGCUACCUCACAGAAACUGAGAGAAGAACGACCGAGUGGGCUAAGAGACUAAAGGCCCCUAGCAGUGAGCAAGGACAAACCCUUAGCUCCUGCCAAACACCACCAGUGGACGUCAUCCCUAGCUCAACUAAGGGCAGUGCUGACGUUUGGAACAACCCCAUUGAAAACGCAGUCAUUCCGGUGUUUCCAAAUGCCAGCUUCUUGAAGCUGUCCAGGAGAAGGAACAGGGAUUGGACUCACUUGGUAGGAUUCCUUGCUACAUCUAUACUUUGUUUCGACCCAUAGCAAAUUAAGGAAUUCAGGAUGGAUCAUUGUCAAACAAAAAAAAUGCAGUGACACUAAAUUUGCCAAACUAUCCAGAAUUCAUAUAAGGGGGUGAAAAUACAUGCUAACGAGUACUGUUUAUGAUCUGCGCUGAACCUCCUGUUUUCGUCUAUAUUGCACGAGCAAAAUCUGCAGGGGGAAAAAAUCGCGACUGUGCCUUGGCAUGUCUUUGAUUAAGUGGAGAUAGAAAAGUAAAAUCAAAUGCCCUUGUAAAUGAGGUCCAAGCAAAAUAAGUAUCUUCUCUUUUAAAGAAAAAUCGUUUAUUUGACUUCUAUAAAAAGAUGUGUUUUCCAUUCGCAGACAUACAAUGAAUAUAAUAAUUCUUAGAUAGCAUUACAUAUGUGUUUGUCUUAUUCUCUGUACUGACUGAGAGUUUGUUGUAUAGUUGUGGAGGAUGGUUCGAACUGGAGCAUGGGUCAAAGGCAGCUCUUCUGUUUGGGACGUGCACUUCUAAGGAGAUGUCGUAUCUUAGUUCUCGAUGAGGCCACGGCAUCUAUAGACAAUGCUACUGAUGCUAUCCUUCAGAAAACAAUCAGGACAGAUUUCAGAGAUUGCACUGUGAUCACUGUCGCACACCGUAUACCCACUGUUAUGGACUGCAGUAUGGUACUUGCAAUGAGUGACGGUAUGUUUUCUUCAUGAACUUGCUAUAGAUACAGCCGUUUCCAAAGUUAUUGGAUAUGAAUCAACACGACAAGAUCUGCAAAACCUAGGGAUUAUAGUAGUGAUCUUUGCAUGCCUGCUUUAAAAAUAAAUCAGAAUUAAACUAUUUAGAUUGUGAAAGUUUGUCUCAAUAUAGUAUUUCAGCAUUUACAUGCAAAGUCCAUGCUAAUGGGUUCAGCUUACUUCCAGGGAAAGCAGUGGAGUAUGACAAGCCUACGAAGCUCAUGGAAACUGAAGGAUCUCUCUUCCGUGACCUCGUCAAAGAGUACUGGUCAUACACAUCGAAUGGAAAUAUUUAGGAGAAAUUAUGACAGUUUACAUGUUCACUC